GAUGAACGCUAGCGGCAGGCCUAAUACAUGCAAGACGAACGGUAAGUUGAGUAGCAAUACUUGACCUAGAGUGUCGCACGGGUGCGUAACACGUAUGCAACCUACCCAUAACAGGAGGAUAGCUCCCCGAAAGGGGAGUUAACCCUCCAUAGUAUAAUUGGAUGGCAUCAUUUGAUUAUUAAAACUGAGGUGGUUAUGGAUGGGCAUGCGUCUGAUUAGUUAGUUGGCGGGGUAACGGCCCACCAAGACGAUGAUCAGUAGGGGAACUGAGAGGUUGAUCCCCCACACUGGCACUGAGAUACGGGCCAGACUCCUACGGGAGGCAGCAGUAGGGAAUAUUGGUCAAUGGAUGGAAGUCUGAACCAGCCAUGCCGCGUGCAGGAAGAAGGCCUUAUGGGUUGUAAACUGCUUUUGCCAGGGGAUAAAAUAGCUGUGCGCAGCGAAUUGCAGGUACCUGGUGAAUAAGCCACGGCUAACUACGUGCCAGCCGCCGCGGUAAAAC
rnacentral:rRNA from 1 species